rnacentral:rRNA from 1 species
GAUGAACGCUGGCGGCGUGCCUAAUACAUGCAAGUCGAGCGAACGGACGAGAAGCUUGCUUCUCUGAUGUUAGCGGCGGACGGGUGAGUAACACGUGGAUAACCUACCUAUAAGACUGGGAUAACUUCGGGAAACCGGAGCUAAUACCGGAUAAUAUUUUGAACCACAUGGUUCAAAAGUGAAAGACGGUCUUGCUGUCACUUAUAGAUGGAUCCGAGCUGCAUUAGCUAGUUGGUAAGGUAACGGCUUACCAAGGCAACGAUGCAUAGCCGACCUGAGAGGGUGAUCGGCCACACUGGAACUGAGACACGGUCCAGACUCCUACGGGAGGCAGCAGUAGGGAAUCUUCCGCAAUGGGCGAAAGCCUGACGGAGCAACGCCGCGUGAGUGAUGAAGGUCUUCGGAUCGUAAAACUCUGUUAUUAGGGAAGAACAUAUGUGUAAGUAACUGUGCACAUCUUGACGGUACCUAAUCAGAAAGCCACGGCUAACUACGUG